rnacentral:lncRNA from 1 species
UCAAUAAAAUAAUAUCUGCUCAUUCUUAUCCUCUCGCUACUCUCCACUCAAAUGGCGCUAUCCUUAACCAUCAGCAGUGGCACCAGUAGCAGUAGCAAUGCAAAUGGGGGCCCAAUCCUUCCCAACAACCAGCUACCCUUCGGCCUCCCUCAUCGCCGCAACGUCCUCUUCCCAAUCUCCCCCAGAACCUUCCACUUGACCUCCGCUGCCAAAAAGUUCUCUUCCCGAACCGGACGCUUCGAUAGCAAGAACCGGAGGAGCAAUCUCACGACAAAAGAACAAGACGAGGAACAGGAGCUCAAACGGACGGGGGAGAUUGAAGAAUCAAACAUUGCUGUUGGAGUUGGAU